rnacentral:rRNA from 1 species
UGAAGAGUUUGAUCCUGGCUCAGAUUGAACGCUGGCGGCAUGCCUUACACAUGCAAGUCGAACGGCAGCACGGGUGCUUGCACCUGGUGGCGAGUGGCGAACGGGUGAGUAAUACAUCGGAACAUGUCCUGUAGUGGGGGAUAGCCCGGCGAAAGCCGGAUUAAUACCGCAUACGAUCUACGGAUGAAAGCGGGGGACCUUCGGGCCUCGCGCUAUAGGGUUGGCCGAUGGCUGAUUAGCUAGUUGGUGGGGUAAAGGCCUACCAAGGCGACGAUCAGUAGCUGGUCUGAGAGGACGACCAGCCACACUGGGACUGAGACACGGCCCAGACUCCUACGGGAGGCAGCAGUGGGGAAUUUUGGACAAUGGGCGAAAGCCUGAUCCAGCAAUGCCGCGUGUGUGAAGAAGGCCUUCGGGUUGUAAAGCACUUUUGUCCGGAAAGAAAUCCUUG